rnacentral:rRNA from 1 species
CUACGGUGAAUACGUUCCCGGACCUUGCACACACCGCCCGUCAAGCCAUGGGAGCCGGGUGUACCUAAAGUCGGUAACCGUAAGGAGUCGCCUAGGGUAAAACUGGUGACUGGGGCU